rnacentral:rRNA from 1 species
UACGUAGGGUGCAAGCGUUGUCCGGAAUUAUUGGGCGUAAAGGGCUCGUAGGCGGUCCAUCGCGUCGGGAGUGAAAAGCUGGGGCUCAACCCCAGUCCUGCUUCCGAUACGGGUGGACUAGAGGUAGGCAGGGGAGAACGGAAUUCCUGGUGUAGCGGUGAAAUGCGUAGAUAUCGGGAGGAACACCUGUGGCGAAAGCGGCGCACUGGACCACAACUGACGCUGAGGCGCGAAAGCUAGGGGAGCAAACAGG